GAUGAACGCUGGCGGCGUGCCUAAUACAUGCAAGUCGAGCGAAUGGAUUGAGAGCUUGCUCUUAUGAAGUUAGCGGCGGACGGGUGAGUAACACGUGGGUAACCUGCCCAUAAGACUGGGAUAACUCCGGGAAACCGGGGCUAAUACCGGAUAACAUUUUGAACCGCAUGGUUCGAAAUUGAAAGGCGGCUUCGGCUGUCACUUAUGGAUGGACCCGCGUCGCAUUAGCUAGUUGGUGAGGUAACGGCUCACCAAGGCAACGAUGCGUAGCCGACCUGAGAGGGUGAUCGGCCACCCUGGGACUGAGACCCGGCCCAGACUCCUACGGGAGGCAGCAGUAGGGAAUCUUCCGCAAUGGACGAAAGUCUGACGGAGCAACGCCGCGUGAGUGAUGAAGGCUUUCGGGUCGUAAAACUCUGUUGUUAGGGAAGAACAAGUGCUAGUUGAAUAAGCUGGCACCUUGACGGUACCUAACCAGAAAGCCACGGCUAAACUCGUGCCAGCAGCCGCCGUAA
rnacentral:rRNA from 1 species